AUGGGAUAGUUUAUUUCCUUCGUUAAGCAGGCCAACAAUAGAACCCUACUUAUGGGAAGAAUUUCUUGUUUGCUUUUUCUACAAGGUUUCAAAUGAGGAUAGUUUCAGCUCUAGUAGGAGCAGAAUUCUUUAAAAACUAAAAUAUGUUUAUAACACGACUAAAAGAUAAGCUGCUCGAUAAAUUUAUAUCCUUGCAACAACACUAGCGGUAGU
rnacentral:lncRNA from 1 species